rnacentral:misc_RNA from 1 species
AGUUCGAUCAUGGCUCAGAUUGAACGCUGGCGGGAUGCUUUACGCAUGCAAGUCGAACGGCAGCACGGACUUCGGUCUGGUGGCGAGUGGCGAACGGGUGAUAAUGUAUCGGAACGUGCCUAGUAGCGGGGGAUAACUACGCGAAAGCGUAGCUAAUACCGCAUACGCCCUUCGGGGAAAAGCAGGGGACCUUCGGGCCUGCUAUGAAGCAGCCGAUAUCAGUUAGCUAGUUGGUGGGGUAACG